rnacentral:misc_RNA from 1 species
CUUCGGUCCGACUCUCUCCAAAUUCGACCGAAACAUUAGGCUUGAAUCCAUUUCUCACUGCUCGGGCGUUCGAGAACUGAAAAUGGAACGAUGGAGAUCGCGUUUCUCGCAUGGAAUGAGGGAAACGAUGAGAACCGUGACAAUGCGCAAAUCUAACGCCCUCGUUUCUGAGGGAGAUGUGAGUGGUGUAAUCGAUGAAGCAGGUGGUGCUGGAGAGAGAGAGGCGGAGAUCCAGAUAAACCCUAGGGAUGAUGAUCGUAUCGGCGGCCCUCCUCUCGAUGAUUGUUGCCCCAUCUGUUUCGGUGCCUUCACUGUUCCUUGCAAAGCCAAUUGCGGCCACUGGUUUUGCGGCAGUUGCAUUCUGCAAUAUUGGAAUUAUUCUGCCGCAUCUAAGCCUUGCAAGUGUCCCAUGUGCACUUCUGGCAUUACCAAGUUGACACCAGAGGCAUCAUUACACAGGCAGCACGAACAAGAAGUUACCAAAGUU